rnacentral:rRNA from 1 species
GCAAGUCGAACGGGCUCUUCGGAGCUAGUGGCGGACGGGUGAGUAACGCGUGAGAAUCUGCCUUCAGGUCUGGGACAACAGAAGGAAACUUCUGCUAAUCCCGGAUGAGCCCUUGGGUAAAAGAUAAAUUGCCUGGAGAUGAGCUCGCGUCUGAUUAGCUAGUUGGUGUGAUAAAAGCAUACCAAGGCGACGAUCAGUAGCUGGUCUGAGAGGAUGAGCAGCCACACUGGGACUGAGACACGGCCCAGACUCCUACGGGAGGCAGCAGUGGGGAAUUUUCCGCAAUGGGCGAAAGCCUGACGGAGCAAGACCGCGUGGGGGAGGAAAGCUCUAGGGUUGUAAACCCCUUUUCUUUGGGAAGAAGUACUGACGGUACCAAAGGAAUCAGCCUCGGCUAACUCCGUGCCAGCAGCCGCGGUAAUACGGAGGAGGCAAGCGUUAUCCGGAAUGAUUGGGCGUAAAGCGUCCGCAGGUGGCCAUGUAAGUCUGCUGUCAAAACCCAGGGCUUAACUCUGGUCAGGCAGUGGAAACUACAAAGCUAGAGUUCGGUAGGGGCAAAGGGAAUUCCCGGUGUAGCGGUGAAAUGCGUAG